CCCUUAGAUGUUCUGGGCCGCACGCGCGCUACACUGAUGCAUUCAACGAGCCUAUCCUUGACCGACAGGUCCGGGUAAUCUUUGAAUCUGCAUCGUGACGGGGAUAGAUUAUUGCAAUUAUUAAUCUUCAACGAGGAAUGCCUAGUAGGCGCAAGUCAUCAGCUUGCGUCGAUUACGUCCCUGCCCUUUGUACACACCGCCCGUCGCUCCUACCGAUUGGGUGUGCUGGUGAAAUGUUCGGAUCGGCCGUUUGUCGCGGUUUCCGCGUCAUGUGGCUGAGAAGUUCAUUAAACCCUCCCACCUAGAGGAAGGAGAAGGCGUACA
rnacentral:rRNA from 1 species